rnacentral:siRNA from 1 species
CUCCCAGGUGGAGAUGCUGGGUUC